GGAAAAUCAAAUAAAUAGUAUGAUUAGCAGAACCAAAUAUGAACAGAGAUGAUAAAGGAAAGUCUAGACUAAAGAAAAUAAGGGGAAAAGAGGUCCCAUUAAGAUGUUAAACCCAUUUAGAAUUUUAUCAUCCUAAACAGCAAAUGAAGCUUUACACAAUGCAGUGAAUGGCUAUAUUUCAAGUUCAUCAGUGCUUUAAGAGACGGGGCCACCUUUCGGAAAAGGGCCAAAUUCUAUCAGCAACGUUUUAUUUAGCGGGCAAUAAAAUCAUUAGCUAUACAAAGAAGAAGAGGACAGGGAAGCAUCAGACGGCGUGGGC
rnacentral:misc_RNA from 1 species